CACAUAUAUAAAUCUAAAAUGAUAUCAUUUAGGGCAUAAAAGCCCACAAAUAUCUGCUGCCUACAUCUCUUACAAGAAACUACUAUCUUGAAGUGUAAUUUAAAUACAAAAGGUCUUUUGCCAAAGUCUGCGUUUUCACACACACAUAAACAUUUACCUGACACUGAGGCUACCAAAAGAACCACAUUUAGAGGAAGGGGGAAAGGGGAUGGUGGGAGGGCAUGUGCAAAAUGCAAAUCUGGCACUUGGCAUGGUCUCAAUUUGAGAGGCCCAGGCAGAUUGGGAUGUAUGGCUUUGUUCCAUCAAAAGGUCGUUUGAAGCACAGUAUUUUAUUUUUAUAGUAGGGUAUUGAGUUCUGAGGUCUCUGAUACACCCCAGGGAACCAGCAAAAGCUAGUCUCAACCCUGUGCCAGCCCCCUGCUGGGUCACUAAUGAAGAUGGAGAACUGUGAGUGCACCCAUAUAAAACACAGGAAAAGGCGAAAAAGGACUCCGAGCUGGGUCCGUUCCUUUUAUUCCAGAGGAGCAACCUUUUCUGUACUUAGAGACUAAUGAGUCAUGAACAGGAGAGGGGAACAAAUCACACAGUACAUUACCAGGAGGGACAACACCGUCAGCCUUUGUGUUCAGUAGCUGGUUCAGUUUUCAGAGCAUUUCCCAGCAAGGACCAAAAGCAACUUGAACAAAGGAAACAGCAGUUAGAUACUUGAACUGUCUCCAUUAAUACUCCAGAGAAUUGGGUGCUUCAAAGUUGGAGUGACUAAUGAGAGUGGGGAGAGGAUAUAGUUCAGAGUUGUUAUUUUGAAAGUUCUGUCCUUUCUAAGGACAUGAGCUCUGAUCCCUCCACAGACUUUUAAACGGAGAACAGAAAUGAAGCAUAAGAAGUUACGCCCAUACAGCAACUGAGCCAAAGCCAGACAGACAUCUGAAGCUUCUCUCAUGCAGGAAAAAACACCAGCACAAUUACCCCAGACACCAUUUAUUUCUCUCCCCCACUUCCUUCAUCCCCCGCCACUCUUUCCAUCUCAAUCUCCCCCCCACCUCUCUCUCUCUGUCUCUCUCUCUCUCUCUGUCUCACACACACGCGCACACACACACACACACACGAUCCCAUAACACUGCUAGUACACAGAAAGCUUUUCUGGCAUAAUUGAUAGCAGCAAAUGCUGCAACAUGAGAAAGUUUCCAAUAAUCUGAAAGAAAGGAAGAAGAUGAAAAAAGAGGGAGAAAAAAAUGAGGAGUUAUUAGACGAAAGAAAGAGAGGUUGAAACAGCUAACUCUCUCUAUUAAAAAAACAAAAACCUGAGACACAUUCAUGGAAAAUGACAGCGAUCCAAAUUGGUCACGGUAAAAAAAUAUCACGUUUUUAAGUAUUGUACAAUUUUCUGCACAACAUCAGAGUAGGCUAAGAAACCAGCAGUUAUGAUACAACGAGCGCAAAAUUUAGGGGAAAAGAAUACUCCAGUGAUCGAGUAUCAAAACCUCCAUUGCUUGCUGUGACAAUAUUCCUUUUUUGUGCUCCAGGCAAUAUCAUCAAGAUUUAGAGUAAUCUGACAUAAGUCAACAAACCUACUCAAUGACUUUGUUGUGUGAUUAUUGCAUCCAGUUACUACCUUCAGAGUUUGUGAUCAUUAAAUGUACCAGCUGUGUCCUAAACGGAAUUAUCUGAUACAGGCUGAAAUUAUAUAGAAAGACCCUAAAAUCAAAAAGUAAAACUGCUUUCAUAAUCUCUACUCCUCUCACUCUAAGAUCUUAGGUGGUUCCCAUUUUUUUAACCUCACUUUAUUAAAAGAUACCGUUUUCAUGAACGCUAUUUGAAUCUCACCAAAUAAAGUUUGUCUCUUCUAAUUGAAACAUAGGAUAUGUCACAAUAACUGAAAUCACAGGUUAAAAGUUGAAACUCUCUAGUCUGACAGUAAGAGUUGUGAUCCAGCAUAUAUGUACAGCAUAAGAAUUCCAAUAUAUAGGUUUUACCUUAGGAGAGUGUCCUGGGGAAAGAGACUAUUAUUAGACAGUUCAGCAGUGUGCAUAUGUACCCAGAUGUCUAUAUGCAAAUACCUCAGAUGUGUCAGAACACAAUAAAUACCUCAGUUCUUGGCACUAAUAUGUAGGCUCAGACUAAAUUAGGAAAUGAAUUGAAAAGUGAAAACUAAGAAAACAACAUUAGUCAUUGUAAUGAAAAGACUGGCAACAACAUAAAUGUCCAUCAGUAAGGACCUAGUUAAAAAAAAAUUAUAAUACAGCUAUACAAUAGAUACCACAAAACCACAAGAAAGAAAAAAGCAGCAUUUUAUGUACUAACAUGGAAUGAAUUCCAAGACAUAGUGUUAAGUGAAAUUAAGCAAGGUAUAGAACAGCAGGUAUGGUAAGCAAGUAACUGUAUGAAAGAGGAAUGCUUAUUUAUCCAUUCAUUCUCACAUACAUAUACAUACAUACAUACAUACAUAAAUACAUAUAUAUAUAUAUAUCUUUCUCCUAUGCAUAUCAAAUAUUUAUGGAAGGAAAUAAAAGAAACUAGUAACUUGAGCUACCUUCAAGGGGGCUAAUCAGAUGGCUUGCGGAAUUGGGAGAAAACAAAACUUCUUCCUACGUACAGCUCUGUAACCUCUGAAAUUCUGAACCA
rnacentral:lncRNA from 10 species